rnacentral:rRNA from 1 species
UCAGGAUGAACGCUGGCGGCGUGCCUAACACAUGCAAGUCGAGCGAUUACUUCGGUAAAGAGCGGCGGACGGGUGAGUAACGCGUGGGUAACCUGCCUCAUACACAUGGAUAACAUACCGAAAGGUAUGCUAAUACGGGAUAAUAUAAGAGAUUCACAUGGAUUUCUUAUCAAAGCUCCGGCGGUAUGAGAUGGACCCGCGUCUGAUUAGCUAGUUGGUAAGGUAAUGGCUUACCAAGGCGACGAUCAGUAGCCGACCUGAGAGGGUGAUCGGCCACAUUGGAACUGAGACACGGUCCAAACUCCUACGGGAGGCAGCAGUGGGGAAUAUUGCACAAUGGGCGAAAGCCUGAUGCCAGCAACGCCGCGUGAGUGAUGAAGGCCUUCGGGUCGUAAAACUCUGUCCUCAAGGAAGAUAAUGACGGUACUUGAGGAGGAAGCCCCGGCUAACUACGUGCCAGCCGCUGC